rnacentral:rRNA from 1 species
UGGGGAAUUUUGGACAAUGGGCGAAAGCCUGAUCCAGCCAUGCCGCGUGAGUGAAGAAGGCCUUCGGGUUGUAAAGCUCUUUUGUCCGGGAGGAAAUCCUGGCCUCUAAUACAGGUCGGGGAUGACAGUACUGGAAGAAUAAGCACCGGCUAACUACGUGCCAGCAGCCGCGGUAAUACGUAGGGUGCAAGCGUUAAUCGGAAUUACUGGGCGUAAAGCGUGCGCAGGCGGUUUUGUAAGCCAGAUGUGAAAUCCCCGAGCUUAACUUGGGAACUGCGUUUGGAACUACAAGACUAGAGUGUGUCAGAGGGGGGUAGAAUUCCACGUGUAGCAGUGAAAUGCGUAGAGAUGUGGAGGAAUACCGAUGGCGAAGGCAGCCCCCUGGGAUAACACUGACGCU